AUUGAACGCUGGCGGAAUGCUUUACACAUGCAAGUCGAGCGGCAGCGCGGGGCAACCUGGCGGCGAGCGGCGAACGGGUGAGUAAUGCAUCGGAACAUGUCCAUGUCGUGGGGGAUAGCCCGCCGAAAGGCGGAUUAAUACCGCAUAAGCCCGAGAGGGGAAAGUGGGGGACCGCAAGGCCUCACGCGAUUGGGUUGGCCGAUGUCCGAUUAGCUAGUUGGUGGGGUAAAGGCUUACCAAGGCGAUGAUCGGUAGCUGGUCUGAGAGGAUGAUCAGCCACACUGGGACUGAGACACGGCCCAGACUCCUACGGGAGGCAGCAGUGGGGAAUUUUGGACAAUGGGGGCAACCCUGAUCCAGCCAUUCCGCGUGAGUGAAGAAGGCCUUCGGGUUGUAAAGCUCUUUUGUCCGGAGCGAAACGGUUGCGGUGAAUAUCCGCGACUACUGACGGUACCGGAAGAAUAAGCACCGGCUAACUACGUGCCAGCAGCCGCCGUAACAC
rnacentral:rRNA from 1 species